CGUUUUAGAAACAUCAGUGGCCAACAGAUCGCCAGAUCGUUGAGCUGCAUUGGCGGGAUUUCGCCGUCUUCGUUUCUCUUUCUUCGCGGACGAACACGCGCUGGGCCUGCAACGGCAGGAUCCAGGGUCCUUAACGGGAUGUGCGUUAGGGGCUUGUAGCUCAGUUGGUUAGAGCGCGCGCUUGAUAAGCGUGAGGUCGGAAGUUCAAGUCUUCCCAGGCCCACCACUUUCAUCGAGUGAGCAUUCGUCUUCUGGUUACGGGGCCAUAGCUCAGCUGGGAGAGCGCGUGCUUUGCAAGCAUGAGGUCGUCGGUUCGAUCCCGUCUGGCUCCACCAGAUGGUUUGAUCACCGAGAUCUUGACCGUCGUCCGCGAAACAUCACUUCGCAUCCUGCUAGUCUGGAUAGACAGCAGUUUGCGUGUUUUCUGACAUCGUAAAGAGGAGAUCGAUCCGAGUUGGGUCGUGCAGCAUAUCGUUGCGCGAGCCUUCAUUAUCUCCGGAUCAUUUCGGCGCUCGCUUCCAGCCGUGAGGUUGGAUGCGGGUUGUAAAUGAUCCUUUUAGCGAAGCUUGACCGCCUCGCUAUCGGAACGAUCUUACGAAGCAAGCUGGUCUUUCUAGUCAAUGUCCGGCUGCGGAUAGCGUUCAUCGAGGGCGCGUGCCGCAAGGCAAUUCUGCAGACAACAUUCUGCCGAGUGUGUGGACAUUGAUAAUGAGAGCAAUCAAGUGCCUUAAGGGUGUUCGGUGGAUGCCUUGGCGCUGAGAGGCGAUGAAGGACGUGCUACGCUGCGAUAAGCCGUGGGGAGCUGCGAAGAAGCUUUGAUCCGCGGAUU
rnacentral:misc_RNA from 1 species